CUUACCAUGCUUUAUUAUGCCCCCAUUUCGAAGAAAAGGGGGUAUAUUGCUUUGCACUUGUCGGUCCGUCGGUCCGUAGACCAAAUGGUUUCCGAGUGAUAACUAAAGAACCCUUAGGCCUAGGAACUUCAAACUUGGUAUGGUGAUUGGUCAUGACCAGUAGAUGACCCCUAUUGAUUUUGGGGUCAAGGGGUCAAAGGUCAAGGUCACAUUGACCUUGUAAGGAAAAACGGUUUCCGAUCAAUAACUAAAGAACUUUAAGGCCUAGGAACUUCAAACUUGGUAUGGUGAUUGGUCAUGAUCAGUAGAUGACCCCUAUUGAUUUUGGGGUCAAGGGGUCAAAGGUCAAGGUCACAUUGACCUUGUAAGGAAAAACGGUUUCCGAUCAAUAACUAAAGAACUUUAAGGCCUAGGAACUUCAAACUUGGUAUGGUGAUUGGUCAUGAUCAGUAGAUGACCCCUAUUGAUUUUGGGGUCAAGGGGUCAAAGGUCAAGGUCACAUUGACCUUGUAAGGAAAAACGGUUUCCGAUCAAUAACUAAAGAACUUUAAGGCCUAGGAACUUCAAACUUGGUAUGGUGAUUGGUCAUGAUCAGUAGAUGACCCCUAUUGAUUUUGGGGUCAAGGGGUCAAAGGUCAAGGUCACAUUGACCUUGUAAGCAAAAACGGUUUCCGAUCAAUAACUAAAGAUCUUUAAGGCCUAGGAACUUCAAACUUGGUAUGGUGAUUGGUCAUGAUCAGUAGAUAACCCCUAUUGAUUUUGGGGUCAAGGGGUCAAAGGUCAAGGUCACAUUGACCUCUUGGGUAAAAACGGUUUCUGAUCAAUAACAAAAGAACCCUUAGGCCUAGGAACUUCAAACUUGGUAUGGUGAUUGGUUAUGACCAGCAGAUGACCCCUAUUGAUUUUGGGGUUAAGGGGUCAAAGGUCAAGGUCACAUUGACCUUGUAGGUAAAAACGGUUUCCGAUCAAUAACGAAAGAACCCUUAGGCCUAGGGACUUCAAACUUGAUAUGGUGAUUGGUCAUGAUCAGUAGAUGACCCCUAUUGAUUUUGGGGUCAAGGUGUCAAAGGUCAAGGUCACAUUGACCUCUUAGGUAAAAACGGUUUCCGAUCAAUUACUAAAGACCCCUUUAGGCCUAGGAACUUCAAACUUGGUAUGGUGAUUGGUCAUGACCAGCAGAUGACCCCUAUUGAUAUUGGGGUUAAGGGGUCAAAGGGCAAGGUCACAUUGACCUUGUAGGUAAAAAUGCUUUCCAAUCAAUAACUUAAGAACCCUUAGGCCUAGGAACUUCAAACUUGGUAUGGUGAUUGGUCAUGACCAGCAGAUGACCUAUUGAUUUUGGGGUCAAGUGGUCAAAGGUCAAGGUCACAUUGACCUUGUAGGUAAAAACGGUUUCUGAUCAAU